GGCCUUUUGGGGGGAGAAAAGUUGGGGGAAACGUUCCCCACCCUUCCCCGAAGGUAUUGCUCCCAUUUUUUCUUCCUUUAACCGUGCACAUUUGUAGAUAUUAGGGAUUCUUGGUGAUUAGGGUUUGGUUGUUGAUUUGAAAAAUCAUGUCGUAGUUGAUAGUUUUCUCAUGAUUAGGGCUUUAGAUGAUGCAUAGAUGGUACUCUGCUCUCGAUUUGGACGUGAGGUAGUACGUGCAUGCAUCGAUUAAUAUGAUUUCUAGGAUUGAGUAGUGGGGAUGUUAAUAUGGCUUUCACUCAUGGAUACUAGGCACCGUGAAGAAUUGUUUUUGUUUUUCAUCUAGAUUGGUGUUACCACAGCCAUCUAUUAGCAUUGCUACCUGGUCCAAAUCCUAGUAUGAGGACAAGUAGAGUUUUGAGAGAGAAACAAUUACUUAUACUCCUUUGGAGUUGAGCUUAUUAAAUUUGCAGUCAGGUUCGUAAAAAUCUGAUCAUCUUGUCAUGGUUGGUUCAAGAUCCAUGUAGUUGUUCUUAGGAUAAGGUGCAAGCUCAUGUGAUGUAAUACUCGUAAUAUUGUUUCAAGAUCCAAGGGUUGCUAGGCAAAAGUAGGGUUAUUAGAUUAUAACAUCUACCAAAGUCUUAGCUAAUAAUGGAUGGUUGUUUACUUAUCCUCCCUCCAUUUUUUUACACAUCAUAUUAGGUUUGUCAUAAAUCAAACUUAUCUAACUUUGAUCAAAUUUAUAGGAAAGAUAUAAUAGCAUCUACAAUACCAAAUUUGUUUCAUUGAAUCUAUUAUGGAAUAUAUUUUGAGACAUAUAUUUGGUAGUAUAGAUUUUGAGACAUCUAUAUGUGAAUAUAUUAAGAAUUCGGUCAAAGUUGAAUUGAGUUGUGGGGAUGUUAAUAUGGGUUUCACUCAUGGAUACUAGGCACUGUGAAGAAAUAUUUUUGUAGUUCAUUUCUUUGUAUAAGUGAUGAAGGUACUCCGAUUUUUUUUUGUUGUAGAUGGACGAAUUAGUUCGGGUUUUUCAUGGUGGUAUGGUUAAGGAAACUGGAGAGUUUGAGAAUAUGGUAGAGGAUAUCAAACUGUUCGAUAGUGCUCCAUUGUUAAAGGAUUUGGUAGACCGGGUGGUUUCAAAACAUUCAUGUGGAAUUGAUGAAAUAUCUCUGAGGGGUAGAUUUGAUUGUGGUAAAGCUAGAGCACAUUAUGUUUUGAUGACAUUGGAAUCUGAGAUGCAUUGGAGAAAGUACAAGGAUAUAGUAGCUCAUGCAAAUGUGGUUUGUUUAGAGGUGGUUGUUGAAAUAACCCGAGAACAAGAUUAGAAGAACCAGUUGGGAUAGUAGAUGAAGUUCCAUUUCGUAUUGAGAAUAUAACUCAAGAGUCAACUAUUGUAGAAGAUGUCCCAAAUCUCACUUGUCCUAGUGAAAUUGUUGCGGAUUAUGAUAUGGCCGUCGCUUGCGAUCAUUUCGACAGUGGUACCUUCGAGGAGGAGGAUGAGAGGGGUGCUGGAGAGGAUGAUGAUGUUUCUUUAGGUUCAGAGGACAAUGAAUACGAUAGUAGUGAUGAUGAGGACGAUGAUGAAGGCACUGCGGAAGAAGAACCGGAGGGUAAUGCUAGGGCGCCCCAAGCAGAGCAGGAGGACCUCAGAUCUGGCGAGUGCACUUGCAUGACACCACAGCUAUUACACCUUCCAUGCUCGCACCUAAUAACGGCAUGUAGAGCUCGAGGACUUUGUUUCAAAAGCCCCACUUAUUUGAGCCUGUACUACGCUCGGUCGAACACAAUCGACAUAUGGGAGUCCAGUUUUGAGCCUUAUCUCGAUCCGUCCCAAUGGCCCGAGUACAAGGGACUAGAGUACGUGCUGGAUGCGUCGCUAUUGAAACCUAAAAAAGGAAGGAGGCGGAAGAAAAGGCUCAAAGGUGACAUGGACGAGUCGCAAGGUCGGGCUAGUGCGGACUAUGGCACCAGUGAUUUCGAUGAGGACAGGAGCCAAAACCGUUGCUCCAGGUGCCAUAGAUUUUGUUCUCAGUGCAAGUGUAAGAAGAAAAAAAUCUAAACGAAAAAAAACAUCCACAACAAGCAUUAGAAAGAGGACUAGGCAUAUCACAUGGAGAGAGGUACAAUAGUUUGUGCUUAGCAAAAAUAUUAAUAUAUACAUACAGUGUUUUGCUUAUCAUUAUUAGUUGAGUUUGUCUUGGUCUUUAUUUUUGUCUUAUACUCAUGAAGUUUUGAUUCAUCAUUGCUGGAUGGCGCACCCCACGUUCCCCCUACUGGAGACGUUGUACGACUCCAAGCACCGAGCACACGUCCUAGUUGACCAUGCCGAGGUGUUGGCGCCCCUCCGCGCACGUACCCACCCCCCCUUCGGUGGGAUGAGCGGUAUGUGCCGUACCUUCGGCGGGCUGGGAUGCUUCCUCUUGCUCGAGUGGUGUGUGCGGGCCUCCCAGCGAUGGAUGCGCCUCUGCUAACUACUUUUGUGGACCAUUGGAGGCCGGAGACACAUUCUUUUCAUUUACCUUGCGGGGAGGUCAGCAUCACUUUGCAAGAUGUGGCGAUGAUUCUUUGGCUGCCUUUAGAGGAAAUUGUAGUGACCGGCAUUAUACAGACUGAUGGCUGGAGAGAUAUGGUAGAAGCACUGAUUGGGAUUCGGCCUCCAGAACCACCUGAGGGGGUCAAGGACAAGAAGACCUCAGGGGUUAGCUCGUCAUGGUUGAGGCAGAAUUUUAACCAUUGUCCUCAAGGAGCACCGCAGGGGGUUGUAGAGCGGUAUGCUCGCGUAUGGUUGUGGUACCUGUUUGGAGGUUUUCUGUUUCCUGAUGGUUCGGGAAACACGAUUUCAUGGAUGAUACUUCCAAUUGUGGGCCAGCAGUGGGAGAACAUUGCUCAGUAUAGUUGGGGGUCGGCAACUUUAGCUUGGAUGUACCGGCAGCUUUGUGACGCAUGUCGGCGGAUUGCUAAUGAUUCAAACCUGGACAGGUAAGUCUCCUACAAAUGCCUUCAUUGCCUCCAUUUGAGUAGCUCUAACACCCAAAAUCUCCAUGCUCGCGGAUGACACAUCGUUCUAAACGUUGGGCACCUUGUGUGGCAGAUCGGCAACUAGGGCCUGCAUUGCCUCCAUCUGAGCCUCCUGAGCUAAAUCCUCCAUCUUUUCCAUUUCUUCCAUCCUCUUGUUAGCCUCCAAGUUCUGAAAAUAUUCUUCCCAUGAACCCUUUCGGUAUUUAGCUUCCGGAUCAACAGUAAAACCUUUCUUUGCUCUUUCCUCCCUUAACCUCUGCCUCUCCAUCUCCUCCUCCUUCUCCUUCUUCUCAUAAUUUGCCAAAAGCUCCCUAUCUAUGAGGGGCCGUGGGUACUUGCUUCGGUUCCUCCUCCAAUAAACAAUGCAAUCCUCAAGAGUUGCCUUUUCUGCUACCUACUUUCCAUACUCACGCCGUAGGUCUUGGAGUACAGGCCCUGACAGAAAUGACUCAAGGGGCAAAGUAACUUGGUAAUCCUUCCUUGUCUUCAAUUUUCUAUUUAAAGUGUCUCGAGAUUUCCAAGGCUCUUUUGUUCUGCCCAAUUGCAACAUUAGCUCAUACUGGCCUUCGAACCACUCCCAAUCACAUGUCCUUCCCUCCUGAAAAAUUAUUGAGAGCCAAA